rnacentral:rRNA from 1 species
AAACCAGCACCUCAAGUGGUCAGGAGGAUUAUUGGGCCUAAAGCAUCCGUAGCCUGCUUUGUAAGUUUUCGGUUAAAUCCAUAUGCUCAACAUAUGGGCUGCCGGGAAUACUGCACAGCUAGGGAGUGGGAGAGGUAGACGGUACUCGGUAGGAAGGGGUAAAAUCCUUUGAUCUAUUGAUGACCACCUGUGGCGAAGGCGGUCUACCAGAACACGUUCGACGGUGAGGGAUGAAAGCUGGGGGAGCAAACCGGAUUAGAAACCCGAGUAGUCC